UCAGAAAUAAAUAAACAUUAAAAAAAAAUUUUUUUAAUUGGAUGUUUCUAUUAUAUGAGGCUAUAACUUUUUGCUUCAUUUUCUCUAAAGAACCCAAGCUUCUUAAAUGGGUAUAGCUAAAAAUCUGACCUUGUUAAAGGAAGACAAAAAUUGGCUGAAUGGUGGGAGAUGAGAAGGAAAACUGUGCCUGCUUUAAGGUUAAAAAGAGAUUACUUUUCUCUGUACCAUGGAGAAGCAUGGCCCAGAUAAUUGAAUGGCACAGAGCUGUUUCUUUGUAGGUCUGCAGUCCUUUUGAGCAUGGGCUUGUGUCGGAGAACAAGUGGGUGUGAUGACCUCACAAUAUCCAAGAGAAUAAAGCUUGAAACCGAAGGAACUGAUGUUUCCAAAGUCCAGGAGUGAGAAUGUGCUCUCAUUCCACUUUUUCUCUUCAGUGAAACUUGAAGAGUACUUGUUAUAGGCAGUGAAACUUCAACUUGAUCUUUUAUCGCCAAGUUAAGCACCUUUAACAAUUUCCAGAAGAUACUCUGUAUGUGAGGGGGAAGGAAAAGAACAACUUCAUAUUGUCCAUCUCAAGCCAACAGGGUAACUAAAAAUCCUUGCUGUAGGAAAGAAGAGUGCUCUGAAAGGAACAGCAUGUACAAUGUCCUGAAGGUUACUCUUGACUCCUCACCCAGAUUUGAGCCAGUCAGGUGUGAGCUCCUCAGCUAUUUGCCUUUAAAGCUGAAUCAUUUUCCCUCUUGAGAAUAUUUGUGAGCCCACCAUCCUCUUAUCACAGGUAAACAUUUAGAAAUUGGGGUUUGAGAGCUAUGGGGGAAUUGCUGCCAUUUCCCACCCAAGGUGAAAUCAGCAGUGUAAACAAUAGAAUAUAAAUUGUGGUUCCUUAGGGAAAAAUAAAGCAACACCAUCAAAAACAUGAACAUAGAAUACAAGAGCAAAGAAAAGCUAUGAGUGCUUAGAUAUAUCUUAGCCAAAAAAUUCCAAUGUUGACAUUUCUGUUUGGUUGGCAUUCUGUUGAUAGUGCACAGAAUUUGUUCAUGUCAGUUUCUUAACAGAUUUUGUAAUGCUUGUAUGUGAAUUACAU